GGGUUAUUUAAGGUAAACAGGGAAACAGAGCGUGUCUCGGGGAUCAAAAUGAUAUCAAGAUUACCAUGGUUACGCGGAAUAUUUUGCCACAGGAGCGCUUGCUGUUCGGGGCAUUUGAGGGAAAUGGCGACUUUCACAUCAUGUUGUCAAAAUGCAACAACUUCGGCUUGUAUAGGAUUCUUUCUACAGCGUUAUUUUCAUUUUAUUUUUGAAUCCAGUACAAGUUAAGAUACCUAUUAAAAAUCGUAUGUUUUUUGUUUUUGACAAAAUGUGCUAGAAAAGAUAAUAUUAUACCUUUUACAAAGGCAUGUAGCCAUGUACGCAAUAAAAUAUUCGAUGUUGGAAAGUAUAUGCGAAAGACACAGUUAGGCUGUUGGCAGUUGAAGGGGAGAACUAAAAUGCAAUAUAUACAGCUCAGGAGCUUAAGCGAUUAGAUUCCAAGGUAAGAAAGGUUUUACAUAUCUCUUGUAUUUUUUGGAAUCGAGUUUCUGAUUUAUCAUGGUCUUUUUUAUUCAAUAUAUAUCUUCAUAUUAUGAACUGAGCCCAUCUUGAUCGUACUAUAGACAGAUUUAUUCUUGUCAUGAUGAUAAAUUUAUAUUCGCGCACAAUUUUUGGCUACCACAGUACUUAUUGAACUUGAAGCUCACAAUUGGGUUGGCUUUAAAUAAUAUACAGUUUAUAGUUUAAUUUAAUAAUUAAAAAUAGAUAUGCUAUAAGUGAUAUAAAACAAACUAUUAUCUAGUCUAAUGGGUUAGCAUAUUUGCAAAAUUGUAAAGCACCUUAACACUUACAAGUGUACAGUUUAUAGUUUAAUAAUUAAAAAUAGAUAUGCUAUAAGUGAUAUAAAACAAACUAUUAUCUAGUCUAAUGGGUUAGCAUAUUUGCAAAAUUGUAAAGCACCUUAACACUUAAAAAGUGUAAAAUUGUAAAGCACCUUAACACUUAAAAAGUGUUAAGGUGCUUUACAAUUUUGCAAAUAUGCUAACCCAUUAGACUAGAUAAUAGUUUGUUUUAUAUCACUUAUAGCAUAUCUAUUUUUAAUUAUUAUACUAUAAACUGUAUACUAUUUAAAGCCAACCCAAUUGUGAGCUUCAAGUUCAAUAAGUACUGUGGUAGACAAAAUUAAUAAACUCCCAGAAAGUAGCAUGGGAUAUGAAAGGUACAUCCCGACUGCUAGUUGCUCACACACUUUGAAUAUUAUUGUGUCCUCUGGCUGGAAUCGCCCCUGCGGCCCUGCAAUCCUGGUGCAAUUGCAGCAUUCUAACCAACAGAACUGAGCUACAGAGUCCAGUUGUCAAGCUGGAAUUCAUGUGUGUAUACUUGGGUACUGCUGUGUUUGUAUCGUUAAAUACCAAAAUUGAAACCUAUAACCUUUAAAACAUAUUAACAUUUACUGAUACCUUGACAAGGCAGUAACCAGUAUAUAUACUUGUGGUUAGAGCUCGACAUUUGGACUCUGUACUGUAGCUCAGUUGUUUACGACACUAUAUGUUAUUCUAAGAGAUUCUGUUGGCAUCCCACUCAUUAUAAUAGUUGAAGUGUCUUGUACAUGGAAAUUGUCGAGUGGAAAUUUAUAGACACUUAUUACACCAAUACAAGGAACAGCUGUGAAAAAAAGCAACUGUAGGUCCCUGGCCGGAAUUAGACCUGCGAUUCCAGUGCAGCACUCUAACCAACAGAGGCCAGUUGUCGAGCUCUCUUAUGGGUUAGGGUCAUGGCAGUACCUUUUUAGUAUUAUAUAUGUAUAUAGUACCUUAAUUAGUAUAUAUGUAAUAUACAGUAAUGCAUGAACAGGCCUUAGUCCAGCACUGCAGCAUGGCUGCAGGUUCAAUUCCUGCCAGUGACCUAUAGUUGCUUUUCUCUCAGUCAUUCCUGAUUAGGUCUUAGUAAUAAAUGUUUAUAAAGUUCCACUCAAUAAUUUUGAUGUAAAAGUCUAAGACCUCUCACAUAUCAAUCUAACUAAUGAUUAAACCUACCUUUUAAUUUUCUUUUCCUACAGCUAAUGAUUUAGAUUCAAAAAUUCAAUAGCAAGGACGAAAGUGGUUUUAUAAGCAAACAACCAAGAAAUGUUCAUGUGACAACAGCAGCAAAUUGUAGCCAGUCUAACAGUAACUGUUUAACGUGCACAGUCUGUCGAUCCUGGUGAUCAGGAUUUAUCUCAAGUGACAAAAUUAAUCUUCAAAUAUUUUUAGUCACAAAACACAGGAGUUUAAAGAUUCCCAGUAAAGUGCUAAGUGUAUUUAUUAUGCCACACACAGUGCAUGGUAGUAACAUAGAACUAUCUUCACUUGAAGCUUUGUUUGGUAGCAGGGGAGAAACUACCCCCUUUUAAUUCAGGGGUGUCUGCCUGAAUUGCCCUGCCCAAACCGAUGAUGCAGCAGAUUUUUAUUUCUGGCCACUGUUUCCCCCAAAAUGCUGGCAAACAGAGGUGGGUGGGUGGGGGGAAAUUUUUCUGGACCACCCCCUGAACACCCCCCCCCCCAACUGAAGUUUCGCCCCUGUUUGGUAGGGAUGCAACUACCUGAAAAAUACAAGGAUAAUGUUUCGAGCGAAGGCCCUUUGUCUGGAAGUUUGUUGCAGGGUCUGGAAAAUUACACGAGCUUUUAUGAUCAUGUGACAAAAAUUAAACCAAUCAGAUGCAUUUAGUCAUAACAAAGUAUAUACAAAAAAUAUUAAUAACAUUAUAGAAUAUAUUAAUACAAUUAUACAGAAAACUACAUAUACAUCUACAAAUUAGCAUAUAUCAACACUAUGUUGUUAUUAUUUAAAGUUGCAUCUCUCACUUUGUAUAGAUGUUCUUAUUCUGGGUUAGAUAUAUUAUGCUAAUUUGUAUAUAGUAUUAUUUUUACCUAACCAUAUCAUAACCUAUGUAAACCAUUGUAUUUCUUUAAAAAAAAACAAGAUAUCAGUUGAUGUCCACAUCAUUAUAUUUGUGUUGUAUGCAAUGAUUUUUGCCUGCAGAUUGAUUGAGAUAAGAAAAUAAAAAGCUGAAUGUGCAAAUAAUUACUUCUGGCAAAAUGUAUUGCUUUGAAUCCCUUGUCUGUAGGUCAACAAUAAAUGCAUGCAGUGCCAGUCAAAUGGUCAUGAAAGUGGACACCUUUUUCAAACAGAUUUUUCUUCCCGUGUGAGUAAACCGUAGUACCCAGAGAAAACCUACAACACUUAGUUCAGGGUUGACUCAUUUCAAAAUUCCAACACCAAUAUUGCAAAGAGAAAUUUAGAUUUUUAACUUUCACUUCACUAAAAUAUUUGAGUUGUUUCCUUUGCUAUCUGGGUAUUUAUAGAAAACCAGUCAUCAGAGAAACAUACUCUGACAUCAUGGAAUGUACAACUAUU